rnacentral:rRNA from 1 species
CGCAAAACGGCUCGAGACGCACACGCCCCGACCGACGGCGAGACAGAUUCUCCGUCUCCAUUCCCCCACAGCAGCCAGCCAUGGAGAGAAAUGGCGGGAAGCAGCAGCAGCAGCAGCAGCUGGAGACGGCGGCGCCGGCGCCGGCGCCGAGGAAGGGUGCGUGGCGGGACGGCGCCGUCACCUACUUCCACCUCCUCUUCUACAUCGCCAUCUCCGGCGGCCAGAUCUUCUUCAACAAGUGGGUGCUAUCCUCAAAAGAGAUCAACUUCCCCUAUCCAGUGGCACUAACUUUGCUGCAUAUGCUCUUCUCAUCUGUAGUAUGCUUUGCAGCUACAAAGAUUUUCAAGGUCAUAAAGAUUGAUGAAGGAAUGACUACAGAUGUGUGAGUCUUGGAUAAUACAAAAUUCAUAAGGCUGUAUUGUAGUUUCUUACUCUCUCAAUUGUUCUCUGUCAGUAUAUUAUGUUCCAUGACGUAUCACCUCAUGAUUAAGACAUCCAUAAUGCCUGCCUCUCCAUGUAUGAACCGAUAAGAAUAAUUUGUGGAUUUUCCAUAACAUUAGCAUAUUCUAGCAUGUCUACGUAAGAUGCUGCACAAACACCACCCCUUCAUUUUAAAUAGCGAGGUUGGUUUUCAUCAGGCUAUAUGUGGAUAGCAAGUACAGUAACAGGGGGCUCUGCUCUUUGUUGUGUAAGUACAUUAGCCUGCUUUAGCUGUCAGGAUUAGUGAGCGAGUUUUACCAUAUUGUUAAGACUGUGACUUAGGAGGAAACCGAUAAGAAAAUGCCAAGUCAGAGGCUUAAAAGUCUAGCAUGAUGGUCAUCAGUAGAUAUUUUCGUUAAUUAAAUUUGCAUCUAGCACACACUAAGAAGCUCUGCACUAUUCCUGUCAUAAGUCAUACUCGAUACCACUCUUCGUGAGAAGAAAUAUGCUGGUCUUUUUCUGAAGCACGGACCUGCAGCCGUUAUUGCUUUCCCAUCCUGUAUUAGAUUCUUUGUUCAAUUCAUAAUAAAGUACUGGGAUUGUAUUAUUUUUCCAACUAGCUCACCUGAAAUUUCAGAUAUGUGAGUUCAGUCAUUCCAAUUGGAGCAAUGUUUGCAAUGACACUUUGGCUAGGGAACAGUGCAUACCUCUACAUAUCUGUUGCAUUUGCACAGAUGUUGAAGGCAAUAAUGCCUGUAGCCGUGUUUCUCCUUGGAACAGCAUUUGGCCUUGAAGAAAUGAACUGUAAAAUGCUUGCUAUCAUGUCUAUCAUCAGCGUGGGAGUUAUUGUGGCCUCUGUUGGUGAAAUUACAAUCAGCUGGGUCGGAGUGGUGUAUCAGAUGGGUGGAGUUGUAGCGGAGGCCCUUAGACUUAUCUUUAUCGAGAUAUUUUUGAAGAAGAAGGGUGUUAGACUGAACUUGAUAUCCAUGAUGUACUAUGUUAGCCCUUGCAGUGCCUUUUGCCUGUUCAUUCCCUGGUUGUUCUUAGAGAAGCCAAAGAUGGAUGCAAGUAUUUCAUGGAACUUCCCACCAGUUACAUUGUUCUUAAACUGCAUGUGCACAUUCGUACUUAAUCUGUCAGUUUUCCUUGUCAUUUCCCGGACAAGUGCACUGACAGCUCGUGUUACUGGAGUUGUGAGAGAUUGGAGUGUGGUGCUGCUGUCAGCUGCUAUUUUUGCUGAUACAAAGCUUACCUUCAUAAACAUAGUUGGCUAUGCCAUAGCCAUAGUAGGUGUUGUUGCAUAUAACAAUCAUAAGCUUAAACCCCAAGUGAACCAGCAGCAGGGUGCUGACAGCAAAGUCAGCCCAGGAAGCCCUCGACAUGUCGAGAUACCAUUGAACUCUACAAAAGAAUCUUCAUAACAUCGAAGGUAGUGGGAUCUUGGACAGAAUUUUUUGGGGGAAGGAGAAUUGAGCUCUUGAUUGUGCUAAGAGUUGUCCAGCUCUCCAUGGAUACAUUCUUCCUACAAAUCAACAGGAAGACCGGAAAUUUUGUACAAUGAUAUGGAAGAUACGGUAGCAUACUGAUUUGUACUAUUGUUGCCCGGAACAGGGCGGGCACAUCAUAAAGGUCAAUUAGGUUAUGUAGAUGUGUUUGUUGUCUUAGAAAUCCAUCAGGUGCUCCCAAAGAUGCAACCUGAUUCUGUUGGUAUACUUCGUUACUUUGGAGGGUCCUGCCAACAAGAUGGACCUUGUAUAUGAAGUAUGUCUGUAUGCACAUUGUACUUCUUCAAAUAUGAAAGAAUACCAUAUGUGAACUUUUUUUUUAGCUU